GAUGAACGCUGGCGGCGUGCCUAAUACAUGCAAGUCGAGCGAACAGACGAGGAGUUUGCGCCUCUCACGUUAGCCGCGGGCGUGUGAGUAACACGUGUGUAACCUACCUAUAAUACUGGUAUGACUUCGGGAAUCCGUAUCUUAUACCGUAGAAUAUAUGUAACCACAUGGUUCAAUAGUGAAAUACGGUGUUGCUUUCACUUAUAGAUUGUUCGCCUCCGCAUUAGAUAGUUGGUCAGGUAACGGCCUACCAAGGCAACGAUGCGUAGACGAACUGAGAGGGUGAUAGGCCGCACGGGAAGUGAGACACGGUCAAGACUCCUACGGGAGGCAGCAGUAGGGAAUCUGAGGCAAUGGGCGAAAGCAUGACGGAGCAACGGCGAGUGAGUGAUGAAGGUCUUCGGAUCGUAAAAAUCUGUUAUUAGGGAAGAACAAAUGUGGAAGUAAAUAUGCACGUAUUGACGGUACCUAAUGAGAAAGCAACGGCUAACUACGUG
rnacentral:rRNA from 1 species